rnacentral:rRNA from 1 species
GACGAACGCUGGCGGCGUGCUUAACACAUGCAAGUCGAACGGAAAGGCCCUGCUUUUGUGGGGUGCUCAAGUGGCGAACGGGUGAGUAACACGUGAGUAACCUGCCCUUGACUUUGGGAUAACUUCAGGAAACUGGGGCUAAUACCGGAUAGGAGCUCCUGCUGCAUGGUGGGGGUUGGAAAGUUUCGGCGGUUGGGGAUGGACGCGCGGCUUAUCAGCUUGUUGGUGGGGUAGUGGCUUACCAAGGCUUUGACGGGUAGCCGGCCUGAGAGGGUGACCGGCCACAUUGGGACUGAGAUACGGCCCAGACUCCUACGGGAGGCAGCAGUGGGGAAUAUUGCACAAUGGGCGGAAGCCUGAUGCAGCAACGCCGCGUGCGGGAUGACGGCCUUCGGGUUGUAAACCGCUUUCGCCUGUGACGAAGCGUGAGUGACGGUAAUGGGUAAAGAAGCACCGGCUAACUACGUG